GACGAACGCUGGCGGCGUGCUUAACACAUGCAAGUCGAACGGAAAGGCCCUGCUUUUGUGGGGUGCUCGAGUGGCGAACGGGUGAGUAACACGUGAGUAACCUGCCCUUGACUUUGGGAUAACUUCCGGAAACUGGGGCUAAUACCGGAUAGGAGCUCCUGCUGCAUGGUGGGGGUUGGAAAGUUUCGGCGGUUGGGGAUGGACUCGCGGCUUAUCAGCUUGUUGGUGGGGUAGUGGCUUACCAAGUCUUUGACGGGUAGCUGGCCUGAGAGGGUGACCGGCCACAUUGGGACUGAGAUACGGCCCAGACUCCUACGGGAGGAAGCAGUGGGGAAUAGUGCACAAUGGGCGGAAGCCUGAUGCAGCAACGCCGCGUGCGGGAUGACGGCCUUCGGGUUGUAAACCGCUUUCGCCUGUGACGAAGCGUGAGUGACGGUAAUGGGUAAAGAAGCACCGGCUAACUACGUG
rnacentral:rRNA from 1 species